CUCCCUGUUCCGUUUCGGCAUGGCUUUGUUACAGCCCACUGACACGAGGUGCAACAGAUGAGCAGCUGGGGAGUUGUUUCUCCCCAGAGAAAGCCCUUUACUGUCGGGCUCAGUUUUUGUUCUAGACUUUCAUGCUCACAUACUUUACUCUAGAAGUGGCAAGAUCCCAAGCUGUAAAGUGUCAAACGAUGUUUUAUCCAGGACCCAAGUUUGAGAUGGAUCCAGCAGCCAUGCGUUUGCCUGGGCUUUUGGGAUGAUCCAGCAGGCUAGAACAGGACGGUAGAGGAAGAUAGCCAGCAGAAGAAAGAAUCUUUGCCACAGUAUUGCAGGUAUUACGUGAGUACCCGUGACUCUUUGUGGACCUGGGGCUUGGCAUUGCCAACAGAGAAACUACAGCACAGUUCAACAGCAAGACCUAUUUCUACGAGUGUGUCUCAGCGACGGUUGUGUUUUCCAUGGGAACUGGGAAAUACCAGCUGGGUGAUUACCUGCUUCAGAGCUGUUGCAGUAGGAAAAUUGCACGGAGCUCUUUGUGAGAUGCAACAUCAAGGCAAGGAGCUACAAUAAGGAGGAAGAUUCUUCACGUGUGUUCAAAGGUGUCACUGUACAGAAGACUGCUUGGCUGAAAAGACCUUCUGGAACAACUGUGCUGCAGGUGCAGACAUCAGUAGAUCUGGAGCCAUCAUCACGAAAUACGUUGGAGUUGAAUUAAAAGAGGAAUAGCACUGGCAAAAAAUUUAGCCUUUUUGCUGGCAAGAAGAUGAAUUUUACUGACCAGUCUUGCAUGUUUGUAUAAACAGUGGGACUACAUACAGGUCUGUAGCAUUCCACAGGCAGUUUUGGCUGUAGGAAGAUAACAGCAAGAGCUGCAGGGGUUUAUAGAAAGAGCCUCAGCUCAUCCUUUCUUCAGUCUCUGAGUAGCCACCUGCUUUUUAAGGAUUCUUGUAAAGAACAGUUAUGGAGGUUCUUGUCUAAAGAGAAAGCUUUCAGCCGUGGGUGUCUUGACACAGAUCACGUUCUUGCACAUCUCUUUUCCUGUUCUUAUAACUGUAGAUGUUCUCUCUGAGGUAAGUUGUCAGUGUCAGUUGUCAUUGCUCCGGAGGCUUCAGCAGAGCUAUGCCAAUUAAUCUGCCUGAGAGCCUGCUCUGCUCUCCCUGCUACAGUCUGUUUCUGAAGCCCACUCAGCUUUCUAGCUCUUGUUCAGUUUUCAGCCCACGGAAGUACAGGGCUCUCGUCUCCUGAAUCACCAGGAUUCAAACAACUUCACUGAGUAUCGGAAUUGUCUUAAGUAGGAAUUUGCUCUCCAGCCUGGAUAGAGUUCAUUACCACCAAUGAGGGAUCCAGAGCGUCGAAGGGAGGCACCAUCCUUUCCCCAUUGGCUACAGAGGGAUCCUGAGUGGCAUCAGAGGGUAGGUAAUUUUGGUAUUCUUGUUUUAGUGUUGUUAUCCAGCUUGAGAUGGGCUGUGUAGCCCAUCAGCAGUGUGCCUGCAAGUGGUCUCUGUCUGGACCUUGUGUGCCUGACACUGGGCUGCCUGACACCAGGAAUCCUCAUCAGCACAAGAGCCAGAGGUAACUGAUUUUAAAGUACUUCCAAAACUAGGGGUAAGUAGAAUUCUGAAUCCUCUGUGAGACUUAACUACCACUAUUGCAUCAAGUGCAAACCGGGCUAAGUCUUUAGAUGGCAUCGCAUCCUAAAAUAAUUAGGAGUUUUUAAGCUUCUUGAGACCCUGAUAAAGCAGAUCUCACCCCAUCUUUUACAGACUGUUUUUGAUAGCUUCAAAUGCUUUCUGAGGUGGCUUAUUUUUCCUUAGGGGAAAAAAAUGUGUGAAGUUCCCAUACCAUCUCAUACAAGUGAAGAGUCUGCAACUUCUUUCUUAUUCAUUUUCAUCCAGUUUAUCUGUUUGAGUUACAACUUGAUUCAUUUUCUCAGGAUUAGGGCUUAUUUAAGGUUCUCUUCUUGGCCUUGUCCUCUUUCCACUAAAACCAGCAGAUUUUCGGGGGAACAGCAAUGAGGCCACUGAAUUUAUAACUCUUUUCAGAAGCCUUAUAUAUUCAGUGAGGGUGUUUUCCAUUACUUUCAUUGCCAAUAUGAUUUGCUCAAUCUUUCAUAUCUCUUUCUUUCCAGGAAGCUAUAGCUAUGAAGUAUGCAUCUUCCCAGUAUAAGAUGUGAUACAAAUAAAUCAGUUGGCUUCUCUGAGAUGUCUUUGUUUGGCUUAGAUGCUCUCUGUGUUUUUGGUUGCCUAUGGAUUGAAUCCCUCCUUGAGCUCUGGGAUUGCCCUGACCCAGGUGCAGCACAUUGCACUUGAACUUACAAACCUCAUUAGGUUCAUUUGGGCCCACUUCUCAAGCUUGUCCAGGUCCCUUUGGACCAGGCUCACCCAUCUGUAGUUCUCUGGGUCCUCCUUUCUACCCUUUUUAAAAAUGGGAGUGAUGUUUUCCUUUUUCCAGAUGGGAAGAGGUUUGGCAGCUCCAUCAGCCAGCACCCUCAGGACCCUGGGAUGUGUGCUCCAUAGACUUGUACUUGUUUGGUUUCAUCAAUUGGUUGUGAACCUGCUCUUUGCUACAGUGGGAGGGACUUUGUUAUUUUUUUGGCAUCCCUUGCCAAGCUCAGUUCCAUCCGUGCCUUGGCUUUCCUGAUCCCAGGAAAGGAAAUGUGAAACUAAUGAGAGAAAAUGAGUGCUCUUUUAUAUUACUAUAAAUGACUUGAUCACGGGUGAUCAGUAAUAAAUUGUGCUAUUUGUUGGACACGUUCUGUGUUUGGGGGCAUUGCAACGAAGACUUUGGCAAUGAUGGGCACAACCACAUUUGUAUAAUUUAGGAGAGAUUUCUCUCAGGUGAUAUAACUGGACUCUCUAACUGUCUUCGAGGUAACCUAGUACGUACUCCUUACUUUGUUAAUUCCUUUCCUGUGGGAUAGCAUAAAUCUACUUCAUAAGGUGAAAGGACGGAGAGUGAUGACCUGGAGCAGAGGCAGCAAAAAUUGAAGCUAAACAUCAGUAACGUUAUUCAAGAGCUCUAAAAGUUAGCACCAUGAACAGAUAAAAUGGUAGAGAGCCUGUAACAUUCUUAAGGGAAUCAAAACGAUCAGCGAUUAAGGAUAACACACUAACCAGUGUUACUUAGAACAAAUUUAAUGUAUUGGAGAGAACAUUAGUGUUUUAGAGAGCCAAAGCACUCUGUAGUUGCUGGGGUGAAAGAGUUUAAUCUUCAUUAGCAGUGUUGGUAGGAUUGUAUUAAGCUGACAAACAGAGGGGUUAGUUUUGCCUAGACAACAUUUUUAUCACUGCAGCAAAGGUUGCCAGGAUUAGCAUUAUUUUGAUUGCCAUUAGAUGGCUAGAGAACAUGCUGGGAGGGAGCCAAACUCCCAAAAGCGUAAGGGAGCCCUGGUCUUCUUUUGUUUUUUGGAAACAAAACCAGGUACAGAACAGAUUUUAUUUUCUAAAGUAAAUAAACUUCAGAGUGAAUUUAGUUAAUUGCCAUCCAAGCAAAUAACCGAUCAGAUUAAAGUUAUUUCUGGGUCACUGGCAAGGUCUGUGCAAGGAAUUUAAAAGAAAUGCUAAUACUUUGUGGUCAAGACCUCAAAAAUUAGGAGAGUGGAAUUACCAUUUCUCAGAAACGUUGAUUUGUUGAAUAUGUGUAAUAGAGUACACCGCUGCCAGCUUAAGCCAACAGUAGAUUUUGGUCUCUUUCAGUCCUGGUUGGUCACAGCUAGGAUCAGGAAUAACUGGCAUAGAUUAGGCUAAGCACCCUUAGCCUAAAAGUAGAAAUGGCCAAAACUUUUCCUUUUGUACAGGUUUUCCAGGCUGGCUUUCUUGCUGAAGCUGAGCAGAAGUGUCUAUGUAACAUUUUUUAAGGAUGUAUCUGUGCAUACCCCAUUUGUCCAUCUCUCUGUCUCUGGGGUUGAAGGGUGAAAUGCUGCUGUCUGUGUUCCUUGCUGCUUUUAAUCACUUCAGUUUCCAGGUUCAGAUGUGCAACUCAACCUUGUGGGUUCCCCCUAAUUCUGGGGAGCGCUCAUGUUUUUACAAGGUUUCAGAAACCACUAUCUGCCUCAUACUCUGAAAAGCUUCUUUUGCGCUAAGCUUAUUUUCCAAAGACCUAAGUGUUGUAGUAUCACUGCUUUAAGCUGUGUGUCCUUACACGUAUCACUGAUGGCAGGAAUUAAGCCGCCUUGUUACAGCUGGUCUGUCUUUGUAGUGAGUGAAUGGCUAAGGGAUGCCGAAGGGGUUGAGAGGAUUGUUUCUGUGGCUAUGGAGUCCUAUGGAAAUGCCAACCAUCUGCAGCUUAUUUAGUGCUCUCGCUCAGCAGAACUGCAGACACAUAGCUCUCUAAUACCUUAUUUAGGUGUCUAUUUACUGAGCAGAAUCCUAGGAUGCAUAGCUAAAGAGGGACCUGGUCUGUCAUGAUGUUACUUUGCACCGGGGAAAUCCUGUAUCUUACAGCACACCCGACUGAAAAAUGACCCAAUAAAUCGAAUCGGAGGAAGGGAUUUUAGUUUGUUCUUCACUAAAGUGCAAGGUUAAAAUUGGUCCAGCCAAAUCUAGCUCUUCUCUACUGCAGCUAAGAUAAUGUGCCAUGAAAUAACCUUAAGCCAGAAGUUUUGUGCUGAAGGUUGUGUGUAACACACCCGUCGUGUGUAACUGCUUUUCUGCAGGACACGGUUCGACUCCUUGGUUAAAGGUCAGAGUGGAAGUGGGCCAGGCUUGAGUCUGUUUUGGUUGACAUAGGUUGAAAGGGAGUGAAAAGAUUAAAAUUCUCCCUUAUUAAUGUGGAAAUCGUGAAAUGAACAAGGCAAUGCUGGACCAGUACCUGAGAAGCCAAGAAGUGAGGCAGACUAUAAAUACAAAGGGAAACUAAAUCGAUAUAUUAGCAUAUGAUCAAAACAAACAAAGUGGUUUACCAAAUUAUUGCCUGCUAGCUGAGAUGCAGUAAGUCUGCAUGCACCCCAGCAGUGAGAUGAAAUCCAUUUUGCACAUGAAAUUGGCUGAGAAUGAAUAUGCACUUAGUUCCACGAGGUAGCAGACAGGUGGCAAUUUGCAGUAAUAUAUUCAUUUUCAACGGCGUGCCUGUACUUUAAGAUGAUGAAUGACUAUAAAAUGCAAAUUAACCACUGUUAACUAGGAAGAAGAGUCAGGAUACUGAUUUUUUUUUCUUCCUUAGGUUUUAUGUGGGUCAGGCUAAGCUGAUACAGACUCAUGUUUUACUGUUUAGCAGCAAAGACAGUGAAAAAAGAAGCAGAAGUACUCCUCAACACAUUUCAGUGCCAUGGAAACAGCAAAACUGCAGUAGUUCCUUUUGGCCAGGCCUCCGAGUCCCGCUGGCAAUUGUAAACCUUUGGAGUUCACCCCUGUUGAUAGCGGAGUUUUAGAAGAAGGCAGAAAGCUGGUAAGCUCCGCUGUGUGAAUAAGACGAAGCUGUUGUAGGGGGAAAGGUCCAGCUGGCAUGGGGGGGCUCUUUGCGAACCCCCCUGCUUGUGCUGGCAGCGUGCUGCUUCUGUGCGGGGUGAAACUCUUUGCUUUGUCUGAAGGUAAGAAAUGACUCAAAAGGAGAGCGGUGAGAAAUGUGUUACUGUGAUCUUUUCCAAACCUGGAGACUCGAAUGCAGUUUUGAUUAGAAGAUGGUGAGCUAAUUUCUCAGGCAGCUUGGCAAGAUAAAUUUGGUUCCAGUCCUGCCUCCUAAUACCCUCCUGUAGCUGCUGGCCCAGAGCAGCUCCUCAGUCAUACAUCUAGCUGAAAAUCACCCAGCACCUCUCAGUCUCCAUCAGAAGCUGAAAACUUGUUUGGAUGUAGAUGAAAAUAGUGUUUCGUCUGCGGGCUCCAGUCUGGCAUGCCUGUGACUGGAAUCCAGAAGAAGGUUUCUCCGAGCCACGGAUGUUCGCCUGGCUGUUCGUGGGGACAAACAGCUGCCCACUCAUUUACCUGACCAUGAAAUACAUUUCCCAUGUGAAAAGCGUCAAAUGGUUUUCUUAGGGUGACAGUAAAUUUUAAAAGGAUUGUCAGGCUGGGACAGGCGAACUUGAAAUGGUGCUGGAGCAGUAUUCAGCUUAGUUUUUCCUUUAAAAAUUUAAAAAUAAAAUUUAAAGACUGAACCAACUUUGCAGUUUGGGAUACUGCAACUCCGUUAAUGAACAGGGCAGAUUCACCAACAGCUUCAGGAAAUCAGACUUUCUCCCAUGAUCUCUUCUCAGUGCUCAUGAGCCCAGAGAAAUCUAACGGUGUGAAGGAAUCAGAAAGUGACUUUUAAGCUGUUCGACUGGCUCAGUCCUUGACAUCCCCAAAGAUAAUACCAAGAGCCAGCUGCAGGCUUGUCUCACACUGACAUGUGAGCACUGCUGCAAGAAAUACCUGCUCGUUUCCUAUUGCCCAAGGAAACAUUUGGUUCUCCUGAAGCGCUGUGAGAGCUGACAGGCAAGGCUUUGAUUUUAGUUUUUAUUUUUAAACAUAACUUCCAGUACCCUCAGCCCUAGCUGUCCUUCCAUUACAAUACAAAUCAGCCUUCCUCUCACUUCAGUCUGGAGCGCAGAGAUCGUGUUUAUUCUUUUCUCCUUUUGGCAGCACAGUGCAGAUCUAAAGCAGCUCUCCCCCUAACAAACCUCGAGUCAAGCACGGAGUAAGAUUCGUGCAGUGCUCAAAUUGAGGAGAGGGGUAGCAGGGACCGGGCAGCAGACUUCUGGCAGUGAGGUGGCACUGGGGCAGCAUGAGCACAGCCCAGCUGCGAGGUAGGGAAGCCAACGCUGCUGAUGUAACUGUGGCCCUAACGUGGGGAGGAGGAUGGGGAGAAAAGAGGGGUGGCAGAGGGCUGGUCAGUGCUCUGUGUGUGCCCCCACUUCAAUGAGAAGGGAAUGUUGCUUUAGCUACACCUUUUCUUCCAGGCUUUACUGGUUUUGAAGCACUGGCAGAUGAUGACGGUGGAACGAAAAUGGCACCUUUCUUAGUCACAAGGCAGUUUGGAGAUGUUGUGUCUUCCUCUCUGUCUGCUCAGGAAUGAGAUCACGAGCUAGGCAGGCAGCUGGACUUAGCAAUGGCAAGCCUUUGACUCUCUCCUUUGCUCAUAGUCAGUGGAGAUGUAACACUGCUCAACGGCCCGUGAUGGACUGCCCACUCGGGUGUACCUCUGCUAGGGCAGAGGUCUCGUCAGCAGGUUCCAGCAGAGCCGCUGUUCGAAAAGCUGUUAGUAGGUGCAAGUAGCUGCCACUUUCCAUCUUGGAAGCUCUUAUUUCCUGCAACAUUGCCUGGGUCAUAUAUAGGGUGUGUUGUUCUAAGCCCAGGGUCACACUGCAGUGUAAUUAGAUUUCUAUCUCUGUCUUAAUCAAAUAACAAGUCAAGCAUGGGCAGAUAAGGAGACAUCACAUCGCUGGGCUGACGGCUUUGGAAAGGAGAUGCAGGUGAUGUGUUUUACCCGGACAGCCUUCUUUCUCCUUGAACAGAUGUAGCUCUUUGCUUCGCAUCCAGACAGACUCACGGUGCAUUGGCUGCUACAGGGUCUGGCUGGUGCAAGAAGAUUUGGGGCCAGGCUGGAAAGCAGUCCAGACUGUGCUCAGACCCUGACCAGUUUGGGUUUGAGGGGAUUUAACUUUACUCAGAGGCAGGGUUCUGACCCAGCUUUAAUAACAAUGCACACGUGGCUGUGGUUUAACUGCCGGCAGCACGAGUUAUGACAGUACUGAUGAAAGGCCAAUGCCAUAUGCUAAAACACAUAACAAACAGAGCUGCUGACAUUGAAAAACCUUAUUUUUCCUUAGACCAGACUUUCCUCCAAGUGCUGAAAUAUCGAUGGGAAUUUCAGCACACAAAGAGACGAUUAACUUUUGGCUUUAGCCAACUUAGCUAAGGAUUUGAGGGCUGUGGCAGCUCCAUCAGGAGUCCUUUGCCAUCGGCUCACUCCUCGUCACAUGCAAAUACCUUAAACUCGUUUCUCUCUCUGGUCUCAGCUGCAGGAUUUUGGCACGGGGAAAGGGCACCUGCUGCUGCUGAAGAACUUGGUGUGUAACAGAUGAAACCCAAACGUGCUGAAUCCCACCUGGAGCCUUGCUGGCAGCAAACGCAGGGCCCAGAGCGGAAACGUGAUGUUUUCUCAGAGAGACGCUUGACUUGGUAAGCGGGAUCUUGUGCUCUUUUUGUGCGGGAUCUUGUGCUGCCUUUUGCUCCCCACUAGUUUCAAGGUACGGUCCUAUGAAGAUCCCAUUGUAGAAAUCUAAUCCUGAAGUGAUGAAAAUGGGUGGUCACAGCAGGAUUCCUGCAUAGGCAGGGGUCCCAGUGCACGUGUGCAGGAUUUUCAGGUGUCAGCAUUAUAUUGCAUUGCAGAUGAGUUUUGCUACGUGGCCUCCAUCCUGCUGUCCCACCCAAGCGGCCUUUCUUGAACAAAAGCCUGGGCUGGUGCCCUGCACACAGGGUGGUGUGUAUAUUCAGUAAUUACCGUCAAUUUUUAAGUAAAAAUGUGCCUGCUUUUCCCAACUUUCAGAUGGCUCAUUGCAUUUGUGCUUCUUGUUUUCUCAUAACGAGCUGUCUCCAAAAGCUCUAGUUCAAAUUCCUUUCCAGAUCUCUAACAACCUGAGCUUAGCGAGAGAAGCAAACUGCCAGAGGAUGCAAUUAGCUUAAAUUUAACCUGAAACCGAAAUCUUACCCAGUGACACGGAUGAAUCCCUGGUGGUUCAUGCCUGGGGAGCAGAGAUCAAGGUGCUUGUUAGCUUGGGUGCUGUCGGGCUUUAUAUCCCCUGUCAGAGGGCAGCUGUCCCCCGUCGGGCCGGACGGAAAGACGCACGUCCUGAGCGACUGGGGCUUUCCUUGGAGUCUGCUUCGCCACGUGUUUGUGCGGAGGCAGCGAUUACAUAAAGGAGUGGGAGAUGGGGUAGCGUUAUUUCUGUUGCAGGCUCAGCCUGUAUGUGUGAUGUGCGGGACGCGAGCGUGGUGCGUGAGCCACCGCGCACGGGGAGCUCGGCGCGCGGCCCCACGCCAGGGUGCAGAAGAAGAAAUGAAACAGUGCCAGGGGAGCUAACGCUGAGCUUCCUGAAAAUUGGGGUUUUACUUCCCACCUUUACGAUGAGCUGGGGAUUUGCAAACUGCACCUGGAAGCGUGCAGAUUGCAGCCCUCACCCGAUCAUGCGUGCUGCCACCGUGGAGUACUCGUCCUGUGUGUCUCUUCCCUGCCUGUUUUAAUAACAGCACCCUAACUGCUUGUUUACAACCAAUAAUCUGCACAGGAAUGGCACUGCUUUGGUUCAUAAUGCUUGGCAAACAGCACGGCCUGGGCAUAAGCAUCGUGGUCUGAUCUCCACGCAACAGCUUCUCCUCUGCCUCACGCUGCUGCUGUCUCUGAAGUGGGAUUCUUUGCUGCACCAAACUGCCAGGAGGUGAUGAGGGAUAAAGGACAUUAAUAAGAGCCCAAGCAGGCUGUGAAGACAGCAUGCUGCUUGGGAAGAGGGUGCUGCGGUACCUUCAGUAAUAAAUCAGGAUCAUUAUCACACCGGGGGAGAGAAAGAGAACCCAGAGCACCAGCAUCUGGCGUGAGUUAUGUCUUGGAGCCGGCUGGAGCUCUCCGUCUUCCUGAAGCACUUGCUCCAGCUACGCCGUGCAGCCUGCCAGCAGCCAUUCAUCCCAGGCGCUCUGGCCGGAGAGCUGACACUGGGCCGAGGCAAAUAUUUAUUGUCUGACUUUUUUCUUUCCUUUUUUUUCUUCUUUU